CCAAUAGCGUAUAUUAAAGUUGUUGCAGUUAAAAAGCUCGUAGUUGAAUUUCGGGAUCAAUUGAUUGGUCAUGCCUUGGUAUGAACUGGUCAUAUUGGUUCUCACCUUCUAAUGAACCAUAAUGUCAUUCACUUGAUGUUAUGGGGAAUUAGGACUGUUACCUUGAAAAAAUUAGAGUGUUUAAAGCAGGCUUACGCUUGAAUACAUUAGAAUGGAAUAAUGAAAUAGGACAUCGCAUUCUAUUUUGUUGGUUUCUAGGAUCGAUGUAAUGAUUAAUAGGGAUAGUUGGGGGCAUUAGUAUUCAAUUGUCAGAGGUGAAAUUCUUGGAUUUAUUGAAGACUAACUACUGCGAAAGCAUUUGCCAAGGAUGUUUUCAUUAAUCAAGAACGAAAGUUAGGGGAUCGAAGACGAUCAGAUACCGUCGUAGUCUUAACCAUAAACUAUGCCGACUAGGGAUCGGAUGAUGUUAAUUUUUAAAUGACUCAUUCGGCACCUUACG
rnacentral:rRNA from 1 species